UACGUAGGUGGCAAGCGUUGUCCGGAUUUACUGGGCGUAAAGAGCGCGCAGGCGGUCGUGCAAGUCGCGUGUGAAAGCCCCCGGCUCAACUGGGGGAGGGUCACGCGAUACUGCUCGACUCGAAGGCAGGAGAGGGAAGUGGAAUUCCCGGUGUAGUGGUGAAAUGCGUAGAUAUCUGGAGGAACAUCGGUGGCGAAGGCGGCAUCCUGGACCGGCAU
rnacentral:rRNA from 1 species